UACACUAGCUAGUUAACCCACUGUACCUAAUGAUACAGGAUUGUAAACCUUAUCAAUUGGUCCAAAGACAUAAGAAUUUCGAUAGUGAAGAGGGCCUGAUAUGUUUAAUGAAACAUGUCUUUCACCUAAAGUACGAGCUUAGCAUCGUGGCUAUAAUAUUUCUGAAUGCACAUUCAUCAUUUGGUAACGUAGCCUGAUGGUACAGUACUAGAGUAUCCAACGUACAAAGAUUUAUUUGGUACUAUUACUGAACGUUUGUACUGCAUUUCAGCAUUCAAAAAGUAGGAGCUUCGAUAAGCAACGCUGUUUGAAUACAAGACUUAUCUUGGCGGUGAAAAAAAGCUGUAAAUGGCAUUGCUAAAAAUAUGAUAUUAAAAAAAAAGCGAGUAGAUAAAAUGACCGAUAAAAUAGAUAUAAAUAAAUAGGAAAAUACGAAUUCUACUCUACAAUUUUACUCUUAUUGUGUAACAAAUCACGCUGAAGUAUCGCGGAUGAGUAACUUGGCCAACUGACGCAUGUAUAGACAACUAAAGUUUAU